GUCAGGGCACACCUGGGGUUUGUGAUUCAGACACAAGCGGUGGUUUUUCCACCAUCGAAAGUGCUGAGUCAUGGCAAACAGCAGAUGUUGGCAAGCGCCCUGGAGACAGGCAGUUCCCACGCAGGGCCAGGCCCUCUCUGCCCUACUGGGGGAGCCAGCUCCUCCCGGUUUGCCCAGGGACCAUCCUGCCUUGAGCACUGAAAGUCCUGCAUGCUGGGAAUCCCUGAAGUCUGGGCAACGGGCGGUGGGUCACCCUAGACAUAACCCUGGAAGCGAGGCAGGCUCCGCUGAGCUGGGACUUGGGGCCCCUCCAUGAGCCAGGCCCUGAACGCCGGUGCUUGUGCCCAUGUUAUCUGCUUGACAUCUCGGCAGCCCUGUGCACCUGUCAUCCCACUUCACAGAGGACGCAGGGGCGG
rnacentral:lncRNA from 1 species